ACUUACCAGCCUAAUAUUCUAGCCGUGCAUCUCAGUGUCUGCCCCCAUCUGGAGAUUCACAAACAAGGCUCAUGCUUCUUAAGUUCCCUGGGAGUCCCAGGUUUACAUGCAUGAACAGAGAACACCAGCACACACCAACAGCAUUCUGUUACAUGGAUGGCACCACAAUCAGACUUCUGUUUCAUUUAAAAAAAGAGAGAGAGAGAGAGAGAGAGAGAGAGAGAGAGAGAGAGAGAGAGAGAGAGAGAUAGGGAAAAAUAAGAACAAGCUGGAUCAGGAAUUCUGAGUUCUUCAUUUUAAUAACCACUAUGCAUUGAAUAACCAAAGACAGACACAGGUAGACACCUGGGACUGAAACUGUGCUCCCUGUCCUGUGCUAAGCGCUUUCAUGCAGAGCCUGAGCCACAAAGCCUGUUCCCACGUGCUCCUCUUGUCUGAGCCUUCAGCUGCCUUUCCUACAGUGGAACAGUCUCACCAUUGUCCCCAGCCUCCCAUCAACAGCAUGGCUAUUCCCCGGGGGCUGCAGCUCCCCAUUUUCCGGGCAGAUCCUCCCAAGCAAGUGGGGAGAUGUGCAACGAAACAAACAAACAAACAAACAAACAAAAAACACCAUUACUUCUGGUUGCUUUGAAAGCAAAUGCAAAACCUUAACACCUACAGCCAGUGGGAUGACUGAAAGCCCCUGCUGAGUCCUGACUUGGUCUAAGCAUCCUGCAGGGGGUGUGACCUCGCAAGAGGAGUGGUCAGCUCACACUGUCCAUCAGCAAACUUCCAGCUGCCUUCACCGCUAAGGAAGGCAUUCACCCUGCAAGGCUGCCCUAGCACCUGGGCGGGCCUCGCUACACAGCCUCUCGCGGGCAGCAACGACCUCGUUCGUGCACGGAGGCCCCAGGCAUUAAACAGCCCAGGGGCUGCACGAAGCGGGCGCCCCCUGCUGGCCGGCGGCCGUCAUGCAGGCAAGUUACUCACGGACCACUGCGAGCCGGAGCGGGGAAGCUGUUUUCCGUGCUUCGCGUGACAAGGACACCAUUUUAGUGAAACCUUCCCCUGAAUUACCCAGACAAUAGCACUGGGAUCCACCAAAGCUGCCCAGCAGUCCUGUGUUUACUUGGCAUCCUCCUCUUGUUUGUGCCCAGCCCAAUCCUCACCUGCGUGAGGAGGUAUUUACUCACGUGGUUCUGGAGAGGGAGUGAAUAUUAUCGCUGGUGGCCUUCAGAGGAAGCGCAUGUUAAGAUCUGAGCAGAAAAUACACGAAGAGACAGCAGUCGUACGUUACAGGUUGUUUUCCAAGGGUGGCGUUUUCCAGCAAGCGUUGACUUGUGGUACCAAUAAGAAGCUAAGAUGGGUGUGAAAAAAACCUGAUUGAUGCGAAUAAAACGCAGACAACAACACGGUUGCCCAAACUGAAAAGCUUCUGGGCUUCUUUGUGGAAUUUCCACUGUGCCCUCGUUACAGACCACGUUGGAGAGGCCUGAAGAAGGGCCUGUCACAAAUGAGUUCACCUCAUUGUUUCCACCUGACCAAAAAAAAACACCGAAAGAAGAAAAAAGCAGAAAAAUGCAUGCUUAUUUUUCAAUCAGCCAUAAUGUUUGAAUUCAAGGAGAGAUGGGAAGAGAGCCUAUCAGCAGCACGUCUAAGAGAAUUCCAUUAAAGAGAAAGCACAUCACGUAAUGAGUGCAAACGCUGGUCUCAGAAACGUGUACAACCCAUGGCAUUAAACCAGUUGUGCAUAUUCCAUUUUCCUACUCUCCCUUUUGUGCUUGUCUUGUCCCUGCGUCUGGGGCCCAAAGGGUGCACCACACACCCACACGGCCACGCUGCAUCCUCUCCUGUUCCUGGAAGGCACAGCUCGUGGCACUGCUCCUAAGCAGAGACUGCAGCUCGCUGCCAGCACUGAAAUGAAGGAGGAAGGCUUGCACAGAUGGGCUCCCUCCUCAGCCGGGAAGCAAACAGCCAAGAAGCAGCCAGAAACCUUUUCUUAAAACCCUUCUCAGCUGUUAUCUGCUGUUUGACCCACACUCAGAUCCCCUCUGAGCUACAGGGUCUCUGGGAGGGCUCCAAAAGCAAGUAAAAGGGGCUUGGGGCUUUGUACAAGGGUAAAAGUGUGGACUUUAUGUAGGCGUAACCUCCAUCAGCCUGAAGCACUGCAAAGAGCCCUACCCCCUAUUAUGUGAAUUAGUUGGAGAGUAAACCAGCAGAGCAAGAGUGGUGAAGAUGCAUGAAGUAGAAG
ensembl:lncRNA